rnacentral:rRNA from 1 species
AUUCCAGCUCCAGUAGCGUAUAUUAAAGUUGUUGCAGUUAAAAAGCUCGUAGUUGGAUUUCUGGCAAGGCAGAGCUAACCUGGUACAGAUGUAUCGUGUGUUGGAUUCUGUCUGCCAUCCUUCCAGAAAACUUCAAUACCAUUCACUUGGCCGUUGUUGCAAUCUGGAACUCUUACUUUGAAAAAAUUAGAGUGUUCAAAGCAGGCGUUACGCCAUGAAUACAUUAGCAUGGAAUAAUAAUUUAGGACUUCAGUUCUAUUUUGUUGGUUUCUAGGACAGAAGUAAUGAUUGAUAGGGAUAGUUGGGGGUGCUAGUAUUCAGCGGCCAGAGGUGAAAUUCUUGGAUUCGCUGAAGACUAACUUAUGCGAAAGCAUUCACCAAGGAUGUCUUCAUUA